rnacentral:other from 1 species
UAUUCUCUGAGGUGUGCGUGAGCAGGGAAGUCCCCUGAGCCGAUAUUUCAUACCGAUAGAAUGUGGUGCUCUGUUUCUUGUGAGCAUGCUUGGCCUGGACCAAGAAGCCUAAUAGAAACGACUCCACGUUCACCUUGAACCAAGGGUUCAAGGGUUACCACCUGCAACGGCAUCUUGGAGAACUC